GGGGUUGUGGCUCAGUGGUAGAGAGCUCACCUAGCCUAGCAUGUGUGAGGCCCUGGGUUCGAACCUCAGCACCACA
rnacentral:tRNA from 1 species